rnacentral:sRNA from 1 species
UCAGAUAAAAAGUAUCAAAUCCAAACAGAUACCAAUAAAUUUUCGGUUCUAAACCGGUUCUUAUUUUAGAUAAUAGAAUCGAUUCAAAUCCAAAAAAAUCAGAACCGAAACCAUACCGAAAUUUUAAAAAUACCCGAAAUGGAACCAAAAUUUAUUUAUGAUCUUAAUAACCAUUUAAAGGAAAGCAUUAUCCCAUCAAGUAUAAAACAAUCUUUAAUUAUAAAGCAUAUAUAUCAUCCAAAACAUUAUUUUUUCGUCACUGAACCUUUCUAGAAAAUGUCACACUGCCUCAGCCAUAUAUCUUAUGUCUGCUAGCCCAUCUACCAUAGUGUUAAGAAAUAAUCGUGAGAACUACUCACUACUGAGUAGAAAUUAAUGGCUAUUCUCCUACACAUGCAUGUAUAUAUAUGGUUUAAGAAAAAGAUGAAUAUUAACUCAGCAAUAUAUAUUUUUUUACUUAUUUGUGUUGAUGAUAUUUAAAAUUUUUGGUUAGCGCGGCAAAUCUGAAUACUAACGAGGCAAAUUAAAUUUGUUAGCGAGGCAAAUCUAAGCCAGUUAUAAUUUAAUACUAUUUAUUAAACCUAAAAAAACGUGGUAUAUAUAUCCUGUUAGCGAGGCAAAUCUGAAUAUGCAGUGAUAAAGAAAAGCUAAAGCAACAAAAAGAUAAUAGAUAGGUAUUUGAUAUUUCCAUGAAGAGAUCACGAGAAGAAUCUCAAGGUGGCGGCAACCAUAACAGAUUUGUUGAUGAGGUAUAUCGUCUACUUUGCUCAAUUCUCUCUGUUUCUACUCCAUAAUAUGAAGUAUUCCGAAAUUUGUUUUUUUCAAAAUCCCAUCAAUUUAUACCAAAUUGAUAGAACAAAAGCCAAACUCUACAAUUUUUUCUCUGAAAUUAACAAUUCUCAAAUACCACAAGUUAAAGUUUAAUCAUAAUAAUACAAAGUGUAAUAGGUGGGGAUAAGUAUGUGCAUUUUAGAUCGGGUUAUCAAACUCUACUGUACAUGAUAUGAACUAUCCAAAUUUCAUCUAAAUGUAGU